rnacentral:lncRNA from 1 species
UUUUUGAACAUCAAGAUGCAGUGGAGUGGUUUGAGAAAAUCCUGAGUGUAGUGUCACCUGAUGCAUCACAGGUACUUCAACAAAUAUUUUUACAUAGUUAGGAAGGACCAGGCUUCCUUGAAAAUAUAUUUGACAUUCACCUAUUAAGUUCAUGCAUUUCUAUGCUUUCUAUGAUUGUAUUCAGGUCUAUGAAGGAACCUUACUAAAAACACUGAGGUGUCUGAAGAAAGAUCAUGAUGAAUCUCACGAAGACAGCACAUUUUUAUCACUUCCAAUCACCAUUGAUGCUGGACAUGAUGAAGUAUUCCGUGUGGUAAGAGUGAUUCUCCUGCAUUCAUUUAUUUGUUCCUCAAACAUGUCACACAUUUGGACACCACUGACAGACUACUGUCGCUGUAGGUUGACGGUCUUGAAGCCUUUUUUCAAACCACAAAGUUUGUUUGACGACAACUGGCUGUACUGCGAUGACUGUGAUGAGAAAACAUACAUGGAAAUUAGUUUUAACAUCCAGAAGUAUCCCACAAUACUGACUCUGCACCUCAAGCGGUUUUACUUUGACGACAUGAAAAUGGGAUAUCGGAAGAACUGCUGCCCUAUGGACAUACCCUCCACACUUACAUACUUUGAGAGUUGCACAUAUGAUCUGUAUGGUGUCAUCAACCAUAGUGGGGUGUAUGGAAGUGGACACUACUAUGCCUACAUUCAGUCUCCUGAGAAUAAUGACUGGUUUUGCUUUAAUGAUUCUCACGUGGGUAAAGGUAUGCAUCACUUUCUUUUUCUAUUCAUGGAUGGACUGUAGGAUAACUAAUGUGUAUGUUACAGUUGUGAGGGAGUGUGUGUGACCAUUUGGUACAGGCGUAAAUUAAAGCAUAGACGUUUCUUUUCUAAGAAUGAGAGAAGCAGUUAAACUGAUUAUUGUUUUUUCUCUACAGAUCACAGACAAAGACUUCCUGGAAAGGUAGUACAAUUAUACAGAGAAACAUUAUGAAGUUAUUUCAGUGCAUUAGGCAGUAGUUCUCAAUAAAUGUUCUGUUUAUUCAUUGUCUGUAAAGUUG